GUUGCUGUGGCCAAGUGGUUAAGGCGUGUGCCUGCUAAGUACGUGGGGUUUCCCUGCAAGAGUUCAAAUCUCUCAUGCAAUG
rfam:Ipomoea nil DNA, scaffold: scaffold1525, cultivar: Tokyo-kokei standard.